rnacentral:rRNA from 1 species
UACGUAGGGUCCGAGCGUUGUCCGGAAUUAUUGGGCGUAAAGGGCUCGUAGGCGGUUCGUCACGUCGGGAGUGAAAACUCGGGGCUUAACCCCGAGCCUGCUUCCGAUACGGGCAGACUAGAGGUAGGCAGGGGAGAGCGGAACUCCUGGUGUAGCGGUGGAAUGCGCAGAUAUCGGGAGGAACACCGGUGGCGAAGGCGGUUCUCUGGGCCUGUACUGACGCUGAGGAGCGAAAGCGUGGGGAGCGAACAGGG